rnacentral:rRNA from 1 species
CCAGACUCCUACGGGAGGCAGCAGUGGGGGAUAUUGCACAAUGGGGGGAACCCUGAUGCAGCGACGCCGCGUGGGUGAAGGAGCGUUUCGGCGCGUAAAGCCCUAUCGGCAGGGAAGAAGGAGGACGGUACCUGACUAAGAAGCCCCGGCUAACUACGUGCCAGCAGCCGCGGUAAUACGUAGGGGGCGAGCGUUAUCCGGAUUCACUGGGCGUAAAGGGAGCGCAGGCGGCACGGCAAGUCCGGUGUGAAAGCCCGGGGCCCAACCCCGGGACUGCACUGGAAACUGCCGGGCUGGAGUGUCGGAGGGGCAGGCGGAAUUCCUAGUGUAGCGGUGAAAUGCGUAGAUAUUAGGAGGAACACCGGUGGCGAAGGCGGCCUGCUGGACGACGACUGACGCUGAGGCUCGAAAGCGUGGGGAGCAAACAGGAUUAGAUACCCUCGUA